rnacentral:misc_RNA from 1 species
UACGGAGGGUGCAAGCGUUAUCCGGAAUUAUUGGGUUUAAAGGGUGCGUAGGCGGAAUGGUAAGUCAGUGGUGAAAUCCUGCGGCUCAACCGUAGACCUGCCAUUGAUACUGCCAUUCUUGAGUGCGGUUGGAGUAAGCGGAAUGCGUAAUGUAGCGGUGAAAUGCAUAGAUAUGACGCAGAACACCGUUCGCGAAAGCGGCUUACUAAACCGUAACUGACGCUCAGGCACGAAAGCGUGGGUAGCAAACAGA